ACUCAAAUGAAUUGACGGGGGCCCGCACAAGCGGUGGAGCAUGUGGUUUAAUUCGACGCAACGCGAAGAACCUUACCCAGGCUUGAACAGCAGAUGACAUCCUACGAAAGUAGGCUUCCGCAAGGACAUCUGUAGAGGUGCUGCAUGGCUGUCGUCAGCUCGUGUCGUGAGAUGUUGGGUUAAGUCCCGCAACGAGCGCAACCCUUGUCUUCUGUUGCCAUCAGGUUAAGCUGGGCACUCUGAAGAGACUGCCGGUGACAAACCGGAGGAAGGUGGGGAUGACGUCAAGUCAGCAUGGCCUUUAUGUCUGGGGCCACACACGUGCUACAAUGGCCGGUACAAACCGUCGCAAACUCGCAAGGGUGAGCUAAUCGGAUAAAGCUGGUCUCAGUUCGGAUUGUCGGCUGCAACUCGCCGGCAUGAAGUUGGAAUCGCUAGUAAUCGCGGAUCAGCACGCCGCGGUGAAUACGUUCCCGGGCCUUGCACACACCGCCCGU
rnacentral:rRNA from 1 species